CUUGCGUCUCGGAACAGUAAGAGAUUAUGUGCUGUGUUAUCAGGCAGCCGGCACAUGGCCUUUUACUGCUCAGAGAGGCAGG
ensembl:miRNA xtr-mir-2184 xtr-mir-2184